rnacentral:rRNA from 1 species
ACUCCUACGGGAGGCAGCAGUAGGGAAUAUUGGACAAUGGGCGAAAGCCUGAUCCAGCAAUGCCGCGUGAGUGAUGAAGGCCUUAGGGUUGUAAAGCUCUUUUACCCGGGAUGAUAAUGACAGUACCGGGAGAAUAAGCCCCGGCUAACUCCGUGCCAGCAGCCGCGGUAAUACGGGAGGGGGCUAGCGUUGUUCGGAAUUACUGGGCGUAAAGCGCACGUAGGCGGCGAUUUAAGUCAGAGGUGAAAGCCCGGGGCUCAACCCCGGAACUGCCUUUGAGACUGGAUUGCUUGAAUCCGGGAGAGGUGAGUGGAAUUCCGAGUGUAGAGGUGAAAUUCGUAGAUAUUCGGAAGAACACCAGUGGCGAAGGCGGCUCACUGGACCGGCAUUGACGCUGAGGUGCGAAAGCGUGGGAGCAAACAGGAUUAGAUACCCUGGUAGCGACUGA